CAAGUAACCAAGUUUAGGUCCUAAAUUUUUAAUUUAGUUACGAUAUUUUUUAUCCUUGA
rnacentral:tRNA from 1 species